ACGCUGGCGGCGUGCUUAACACAUGCAAGUCGAACGAUGAAGCCUAGCUUGCUAGGUGGAUUAGUGGCGAACGGGUGAGUAAUACGUGAGUAACCUACCUUUAACUCUGGGAUAAGCCUGGGAAACUGGGUCUAAUACCGGAUACGACCAAUCUCCGCAUGGGGUGUUGGUGGAAAGCGUUAUGUAGUGGUUAUAGAUGGGCUCACGGCCUAUCAGCUUGUUGGUGAGGUAACGGCUCACCAAGGCGACGACGGGUAGCCGGCCUGAGAGGGUGACCGGCCACACUGGGACUGAGACACGGCCCAGACUCCUACGGGAGGCAGCAGUGGGGAAUAUUGCACAAUGGGCGCAAGCCUGAUGCAGCGACGCCGCGUGAGGGAUGACGGCCUUCGGGUUGUAAACCUCUGUUAGCAGGGAAGAAGAGAAAUUGACGGUACCUGCAGAGAAAGCGCCGGCUAACUACGUGCCAGCAGCCGCGGUAAUACGUAGGGCGCGAGCGUUGUCCGGAAUUAUUGGGCGUAAAGAGCUUGUAGGCGGUUUGUCGCGUCUGCUGUGAAAGGCCGGGGCUUAACCCCGUGUAUUGCAGUGGGUACGGGCAGACUAAAGUGCAGUAGGGGAGACUGGAACUCCUGGUGUAGCGGUGGAAUGCUCAGAUAUCAGGAAGAACACCGAUGGCGAAGGCAGGUCUCUGGGCUGUAACUGACGCUGAGAAGCGAAAGCAUGGGGAGCGAACAGGAUUAGAUACCCUGGUAGUCCAUGCCGUAAACGUUGGGCACUAGGUGUGGGGGACAUUCCACGUUUUCCGCGCCGUAGCUAACGCAUUAAGUGCCCCGCCUGGGGAGUACGGCCGCAAGGCUAAAACUCAAAGAAAUUGACGGGGGCCCGCACAAGCGGCGGAGCAUGCG
rnacentral:rRNA from 1 species